rnacentral:rRNA from 1 species
AUAGAAUUUAAGGUCUAACCUGCCCAUUGAUUAUUUUAACGGCCGCAGUAUUUUGACUGUGCAAAGGUAGCAUAAUCAUUAGUUUUUUAAUUGAAAGCUUGUAUGAAUGGUUGGACGAGAUGUAAUCUGUCUUUAAUUUAUAAGUAGAAUUUAAUUUUUAAGUUAAAAAGCUUAAAUAAUUUUAAUAGACGAGAAGACCCUAUAGAUCUUUAUAAAUAUAAAGAUUUAAUUUUUAAGGAUUAUUAAAUUUUAUAUUUUUUUAUUUAUUUAAUUGGGGUAAUGAAAAGAUUUAAAAAAUUCUUUUUAAGAUAAACAUAGAUAAAUGAUUUAAAUGAUCCAUUAUUAUUGAUUAUAAGAUUAAGUUACCUUAGGGAUAACAGCGUAAUUUUUUUUGAGAGUUCUUAUCGAUAAAAAAGUUUGCGACCUCGAUGUUGGAUUAAAAUUAAUUUUAGGUGUAGGAGUUUAAAGUUUUAGUCUGUUCGACUAUUAAAAUUUUACAUGAUCUGAGUUCAAACCGGUGUAAGCCAGGUUGGUUUCUAUCUUUAGUUAGUUAAUAUAUUUUAGUACGAAAGGACCAAGUAUUUAAUAUAUAAUAUUUAAAAAUUUGAAUGAAAUU